rnacentral:siRNA from 1 species
UAUGUUUGUAGGGCUAUCACUACC